CACGCGCCAAAGUAGAUGAUUCUUGGAUUAAACGCUGUUGCUCUUCUCGCUCCUUUUGCCAAGCCAAUUCUAGGCGAGUCCUGGUACCAGUAAUGCGACUUCUUCCCAUCGCCAUGAUUUUGUCUUCCUCGAGCUACUCAGAAAUUUUGAUUUCUUUGGCCGAUUUUUCAUUGAGAUAUUCGGUUUUAAUGCGUGAAGUUUCGGUUCGCGCUUCAUUCAGUUCGUCCUCAAGACUUGUAAUUUGGGCAUGGAAUUCUUCAAUACGAGUCAAGGUAUCUUCCAUCUGCAAAUAAUUGAUUUUGUUUUUAUUAAAGUAAUAAAGAAGAAUCAUUUAUGUCAUCAUACUUCACGAGAACGCGCGGCAUCUACUCCAGAUUUCGCUUUUUUGCUCGGAUCAGAUUUAAGUUCCGAUAUCAUGCGUUGAGCACCAUCCAGCAUUUCCCUGUUGACAGGAAAAUGAAGAAAACAAAUUUUUCGAAUAAUUUGCUAAGGUAAUUAUUACCUAAACGUAUCUCUUUCACGCCUGGCUUUUUCAAGUUGCAUUUGAGUCGCCUGGGUUUCUUCUUGAAGCAACGCGAUUUUAUUGUCAUUACGCAUUUUAAUAUGCGUCAUCUCUGAACGAUGGGCUUUCUCUUCUUGAGCCAAUCUGUAAUAAGAUUUCAGAUUUAUCGUUUAUAAAACUAUACAAUUCGAAUUUUUUAUUGAUGUUAUUUCACCUAUUUUUGAGUUCCCGUAGUUCACGUUCGUGCUCUGAUGAAUCAUAGGUCAUACUUCUCUUGAUUUUGGUUACUUUAUCGAAAUCUUCAAGUUUCCUUCGCAGUUCGUCGUUCUUUAUUAAGAAAAUUGUUAAUACAGGAGUAUUUUUGUAAACAUAAAGAAAGCUAACCUCUCGUCGGAUGUUAUCUAUGUGGUCCCUAUGCAGUUCUUCAUCACGUUUAAUCUUCUCCAAUUGCUGAUUUUUCUCUUCAAUAAUAUCUUUAAGUCGACUUCGCUCAAUGUACCAAUUUUCUCCAGAGUGUCGCAAUUCUUUUUCUUCCAACUCUUUCAUUUUUUCCUGUUAAAGAAUUGUGUUGAAUGUAUAUUCUAUGGUUUUAAAAUAUUACAAUACUCUUAGUCUUA